rnacentral:sRNA from 1 species
GAAAAAAGUAUUCCGCUGCCGGGCUUUGAACCCGGAAUAUUUCAUGAUUUGAAGAUAGCCUGAAGUGCUACAGCGGAUUAGUUGUU